rnacentral:rRNA from 1 species
ACUGUUAGGCUUGGGACCGGGAGAGGUGGAAGGUACUCCAGGGGUAGGGGUGAAAUCUCGUAAUCCUUGGGGGACCACCGAUGGCGAAGGCAUCCCACCAGAACGGGUCCGACGGUGAGGGACGAAAGCUGGGGGCACGAACCGGAUUAGAUACCCGGGUAGUCCCAGCUGUAAACGAUGCUCGCUAGGUGUCAGGUGCGGUGCGACCGCAU